GCUGCGACAACAGGUCCAAAUACACCUCGACGACCCGGCGCAUUGCCAUGGAGACGGAUCGGCUACUUGCAGGUAGAAAGGUGAAAGAAACUACAGGGCAGGAGACACAGCUGCUUUUCUUCCUCCGUGUGCCUGCUAUGCUGUCUGCUGCUGCUGCUGACUUGUUUUGCUCAGCUGCGCCCCUAGAGGCUGAUUAGUCACAAAAUGAGCAGUCUUGAAGAAGGAAAUGAAAAUGCAUUUUGGAAUAUUGCUUUUGAUUUUUAUUUUUGAGUCAAAUAGUGCAGCCAUGACUUCGAAAUGAAAAGCAUUUCUGUUAAUGCUUUUGAAUUUGAGAUAUGAGUCACAAUCGCUUCCAUAUCUGUUAAGCGAACCCUUUGGUCACACCUAGAUUUUAAACUGUCAUCAAUACCUUUAAUGUGCUUCUUAAUACCUUGCAAAAAUAAAUCCAUAUUUCCUUCAUUUUCAUUUUCAAUCAGCAGCAUAUUAUUUUUGGUAGAAGUCAGCAUACUGGGAAAUAUAUUUUUCAUGCUCAUGUACUUGGUUAUUAAUGUUAAGUUUACAAAUAGAUGAUGUCUCAGAGUUCCUUUUUUCCAGAUUGAAAAAAUAUUUGGUGCACUUUUCGCCUUGUUCUAGCCACCCUUUUCGAAACCUGACAAAGGCUCCUCUGGCCUUUUCCUCAUACAUUCUGUCCAGUUCAAGUUGUAAAGCUGACAAUUCAUUUAGUUCUUCUCCGGACAGGUUUACUUUCUCUGAUAGUCUUAUUACAUUUGUAAUUAUCUGAUGUUCUCUCUCUCUGCUUGCUUUGGCACUUUUUUCCCAAAUGUAAUAGCUAUUUUUCUGAUAUCCUAUUUCAUUAGUUAUCACUAAUUCCCCCAUCUGUUUAGUGAAUUUGCUUGCCUCCAGUAUUUUUCAGUAAUUUUUUGGACUUCAUUUUUAAAUUGCUUACUUUGUAAUAGUGUUCUAUUCAAUUUCCAAUAAUCUCCAUUAGAGGUGUAUCUACAAAACCCAAUUCCAUUGAAGGUGGGAAAUUGUGAUGAACGUAAAUAAAAACAGAAUACAAUGAUUUGCAAAUCCUUUUCAACCUCUAUUCAAUUGAAUACUAUUUAUUUUUUUGCUAAUUAUAAUUAACUCAGAAUUUCAUGGCUGCAACAUGCCCCAAAGUAGUUUGGACAGGGUCAUGCUUACCACUGUGUUACAUCACCUUUCCACUCAAUAAACGUUUGGGAACUGAGGAGACUAAUUGUUGAACUUUGAAGGUGGAAUUCUUUCCCA